GCCCUACAGGACACCUACUAUAUAAGGCCACGCUACCAAUUCCAGAAGACAUAGCAGCUCUUCUUAAUACAAAGAAACACACACAGGAAAGC